rnacentral:lncRNA from 1 species
CCUCCUACCUCAAAGUCCUACGCACCUACCCUUCACGUCUCUCCAAAGCAACUGAAUUAAAGCGCCUACUGGCCUUGGCGGCGCAGGUCCCAAGAUUUUGACUGAUUGGUUGUACGACUAGAGUUGCUGGAGUUCAAGUAUUUUCAUUUUAACUAUUCAACUGAAAGCAGUGCGUUACAACAGAACACGGGUUCCAAAGAAUUUACUGAGAAGAAGCAAAGUAAUACUUGGGAGAACUAUAAUACACAGGCAUCUCAUGAAAAUCAUCCAACAUAUAGAAGAAUAUAUAGAAUAAAGCAAAAAUCAUCAGAAACUCCACCGUCUUGGAUGACCAUAGUUGAUAUUCUGAAUGGCUUCUGUUCCGAUUGAACCUUGACUGAUGUAGCACCUAUCACCAAAUUGCUGUUCAGGAAAUAUGUCCUAAAGAAACUCCCAACAGCAGCAAUACAUCAGAGUGGCACCUCUUUACACUGGUUCUUGGAGGAUUAACUGCUUCUGGGGUGGCUGAGUGUGGUAGAGGAAAAACAGAAGAAACUCCAAGGUGAAAUUAGAAAUCUUAGAAGAGCUCUUCUUUCUCCCAUAGAGAGAAGAUGUCAGAGUGAGAUUUGCAAUAGACUCCCAGCAGCCCCCAGGAGCACCAAGUGAGAUGCCUGCCAGGCCCACUGUGUCCACUGCCCUCUGGUAGCACCUGAGGAUCAUGGAAACUGCAAAUUUAAAUCAACUUCCAGUGGGAUUUGAUAACUUAAAGACUGAGAACAUCUUCUGGGUUUUGAUGUGGAUGUGUGGCUCUCUAAGGGCCACCUCCCAGAAUGCUGCUUGAAGGCUCUCUAUUCAGGUUGAAGCUAUUUACCACAUGACCAAAGUGGAGUUCUUUCCCAGAGAUACUCAUGAUGGUAGGAAGAACCCAGGCCAACUGCAGCAAGCAGGCUAAGCAAAACUAAAGCUUGGCUAACUUCAGUAAUAUUUUAAAUGAACAAAAGGAGUUAGCUGUCCAGCUAUUGCUUCUUGAUUCAGAGAUGGAGACUCUCUUCACCUUACCCAAAUACUGACGUAUCAAAGAACUGGAUGGAUUAAUUUCAAAAUGCAAAGGGCCCUUAUAAAAGGAUGUGAGGAUGGACUGAGGGAUCUGAAGGACACUGUCUCUUCUGUUCUCUUUGUGUGCACACUUAGGCUCUUGAGCCCAUGAAGUCUCCUCAAAAUAGGAUAAAUCAUUAAUUAAAAUGUUUAAUGAGGAGAAAAAGAACAUAGAAAAAAGGAACAAACUCUCUGAUUGAGGGUGUAUGUGAGGUUGCCUAUUAACUCUAAGAUAGUUUGGGUUCAUGAAAGCUAGAGAU